AGGAGGUCAUCGUUCACUCGAUAACUCUUUUCAAAAUGAAAUAAAAGCGUUUUAAGAUACAUAAUAUGAAUUGAUAUUAAUAUUCGUUAAGUGGGAUUGUCGGUGGACGUUCAUUGUUGAACAGUUGUGCUGGAAUUACGAAAAUAUAUCGAUAUCGUUGAGAGUUCAUUCAUUAGGGGCCUGUUCUCAAUUUUCCUUACAACGCCUCUAGCACUGGGCAAUUGCCACCAUCUUGAAAAGCAGUGCUGCGGAUGGCUAUCGCAUCGCCACUACGCAUGAGAACACGAUGGCUGCCCUGCGCUGCAUUGAUAGUUCGUAAUAAAUUCACAUAAAAACACACCAGAAGAUCUCCGAUUUUAUUUACAAAGAUCAUAUUUUGUUUAUUGAUAAAACAAGCCAGUUUACCACAGCAGGUGACACAUAUUAGGCCUGAAUAAGACUUUAGAAUUUGAAGUGGUGGUGACGAUGCCGAUAUCCAAGAUGGCGGAAUUAUACCAGUGGUCAAAUCUCAUCUAUUUUGGGUAAUUGCAUCAUUAUUUCUUUUUGUGAUUGGUGAUUUGUAAAAUUGAGAAUGAUUGAAAAAUCAGUAUUUUUUGACCCAAAGGCAUGAGUGAACAUUUGAUAAGUUUAUUGUGAUUUAAUUGGUAAUUUGGUCGACAUUUUGACAAUUAUAUUUAGCAAUAUUUCGAUAAAUGCGGACCUGCUUCUUCCUCUUUUCGUAGUGACGGUGUUUCGAUAACUCAGUUAGACUUCGAGAUCUACAUUUUCGACAAAGGCCUGGUGUAAUAUUACGUACUUGAUGAAGGUUUAAUGACACGAAUGAGUUCAAGUACAUUACAUUUUUCGACGAAGGCCUUCUGUAAUUUCAUACGCUUCUUACGCAACAUUCAAUAGAUUUAUUUACUGUAUUAUCAUUUCGACCAAGGCGAAUUCGACACUUCAAUUACACAAGGUUAGUAACUUUUGUUCACAAAAUCCAAAUGGAGGCAAAUACAGAACAAUCAAACUUAGUCAUUCCAGUCAGUUACUGAAGCACAGUGAAAACUGUCGGGAGCAGUGCAACUGAUGGCAUGUCAAACUUCCAGUGACUGUCCCUGUCCAUAUAUUUUAAGACAGUACAAAUCUUGUAAUCAUUUUGUUUAUGCAAUGUACGUUAUUAUGUAUCAUUUCAGCACAAUCAAACUUAGUCAUUCCAAUCAGUUACUGAAGCACAGCGAAAACUGUCUGAAUUAGUGCUGCUGAUGGCAUGUAAUUACUCUACUACCACUACCAGUGACAGUCAAUGUCCAUAUAUUUUCAAGUGUGCGAAAUUAGUACUCGUCUACUUCUUAGUGUUAUUUGAAUGCAAUGUAUGUUAUAAAAAUAUUUUUUCAACACUAUAUCAACAUUCUCACUCCUGUCAGUUUCUGAAAAUCAGCUAAAGCAAUCGCUACCAAUGCAGCUGAUAACAGCAAUUCUUUUCGUUCCCAAUGCCCAUCCAUGACAAUAUAUUUCACGCAUGUGACAAUCAUGUAAUCAUCCUGUUUUUUGUGUUCUAUUCAUGCAAUAAAUAAAUUCAGUAUUUUCAAAUCAUUGGUGCUACAAAACUAUUCUCAUUAUAGAUUAUUCAUAUUUUAUAAAAUGCUGUCAUGUCAAAUUUUGUGUCCUAUAAAUCAUUAUGAAGUCGGCAUUUUAUAUACAACUUUUGUACUCCUCCUAAAUAAACAUACAAAUCUUGUUUUAUGUAAACUUUGUAUAUGUGACCCGUCACAGCAAAACCAGGCGCAUGUCGCUCUGAGCUUGGCAGGUUGAGACGGACUGUUUGUUCAUUUAUCUAUUGUCUGCCUUUUGUAAAAUAUGAGCACAUCAAUUUCUUCCAUUAUCUCCUGGUGUCAUUUAGGCUCAUCUUCUGUGCGACAUGUACCUGGUUUUGCUGUGACGUCAUGUUGAAGUCAUGUUCUUGUAGUGUUAUUGGCUUUCUAUUAUCUUGUCAAAAUACCACUUGGUUCUCGCAAAAUCUCAAUAAAAACAAAUGCUAUUGCAUGUAUUGCAUAUUCUAACAGCUAUCCACUGUAUCGAUUUAUCCAUCAUCUGUACUAUUUGUCACAAAAAUGUUAUAUUAUGUAAAUCAUAUUUCAUUACAUAAUGCACACUGCCAAUUACUGCUGAACCAUUCAUAUGUCAUUUAAAUAAAUAAUUUUCAACUUUUUAAAACCGUCUUAUAGUACUGUUCUUGUCACUUAGCUGAACCAAUUGCUCUAUAGCAUGAAAUUUCCAGAAAUGCCCCAGGGACUGAAAAGUGCUGUUUUAACAGAGAGGUGUCCUAAACUGAGAAGUCGAGUUGAAUGGAAACAACCAAUUUGGAACCAAAAACUACUGUCCUUAUUAAAGAGGUUGUCCUCAAUAGAAAGGUGUCCAC